rnacentral:lncRNA from 1 species
CAGCAAUUGGCUAAGGGGCUGCGGCUUUCCGAACCCUCUCUCCCGCCCGUGACUAUGAAUGGACAUCGGCGUUGUCAGUCACCCGUACUGCGCCGCAACCAGGCCCUUGGCCGGUCUUUCUGUCUUUCUUUCGUCGCUGAUUCCUACCUCAUCCUGGGCAAGUUCAGGGUAGCACUUGGGAGCAGAGGAGCUUCGGCAAGGAAAGUCAGCCCGCAUGGCCCUAACGUGACCGUCGGUUAUGGGAGGGUUUUAGGCCUAGGAGGAGCGUGGAAAGCGCACAGAGGAACUAAGGCUUUGCUACCGUUGGUCCAGGCGGACUGUGAGCCUCCAGUUCAAAAGCUGGACAGAGUUGGCGGCAGCGAAAACCGAGGAAUCCCAGCUGCGUCCUUAUCUUCUUCUUCCCACCCCAGGUCAAAGGUAGAACCUGAGCCACUGCCUCUCGGGUGGGACGAAUGGAAAAGGUCAUAAGAUCUCGUUGCCAGUCGCUCGAGACGCCCAGCGGCGUCCUGGCGCGGGUCACACAGCACCCUGUAACAGGCCUUCUUGGGUCUUCGCCACUGUGCCGCGUUCCCUGCCCCCGUCUCCCUCCCCAAGCCCUGGAUCCCCGGUCGGUCGCAGCCACAGGUUGCUGCACCCCGGUGCGCGGCGCCCCCCGCCGCGCAGCCUCCGCCGGGAGUUGGAACCCAACAUCUGUGUGCACAAUGCGCUCUCCGAGGCCCACAGCUGCAGGCACAAGGGGAAGAAAGGAAGGAGCGGGGGAGCAGAUCCUGUCACACGCAGAUGACAGUCUGCAGAGGGCUCUUUAGUGUCUCCUUUUCUGGAAGCCCUGGCGCCCCCCUCCCAGUUCCCUCUCCUGCCGCCUCCCCAUUGUUCCUAGCGCUCCGGACAGCUGGAGACGACGACCACACCACCCGCCGCUCUCCCUCCGCUCCCCUCCCGCCGCUCGCCAGGCGUCCCCUCUGGCAAUCCGCGGUCCCCACCAGGGCAGGGCCAGGCGGGGAUGCACCGCCUCGUACCCCACCCCCGGCUCCGCCCCGACCUGCUGGUGCCGGAGCUUGGCCUUCGUGCACCUCUCCGGUUGUCCGCCCCUGGCGGAGUCGGCGGGCAAGGCCCCUGGCAGGGCUUUGAGAAGAGAUCCAGUCCUGCGGCGCGCUCCGGGGACUCCACUUUCACUUGUGUUUCUUGUUUUUACCGGGCCGGGAAGGCGCGCUUCGCAGAGCCCCAGGGCACGCGGUGCUGCAUGGGCCACGGUCCACGGAGCCACGUGGGAUUCCCUGCUGGCCCAGCCGCAUCCCGCAGCUCAGUUUCGGAGAACCGCGUGAGGGCCCGGCAGUGGGCCCCAGGAUCCUGAAGCCACCGAAUACAGGCUGAACCCCAGAGUAGGGCAUGCAGCUCCAGGCCAGAUGGCCAGCUUUGUGUUCUCCACAAAUUGAUGUGACUUGACAAGGCAGAAAAAAAUAUAUCUUUUAAUUCAUGAAAACACUCUGGAAAAGUUUCCUGGCAGUCAUGACUCAGCUAUCUUGAAGAAUGAAUAAUGACGUUAGCUUUGUUAUUUUCUAAUGUUUUGGUCAGGAGGCCCUGGACUUCAUUUAAUAAUAAAUAUGAAUUUGUAUAAUUUUGAUAACAUUUCAGAAAAAUUUCAACACGAUACAAAACAUUUCUGAAACAUGUUGAUUGAAAUCAUUUAUAUAUGACAAAUGAGCACAUGAUUCACACAGAAGUUAGGGUUGCUUGACUAAUGAAUAAAAAAAUCUGGCAUUUAUAGAAUUUCCCAAGACUCACAAAAUGCCUAAACAAUAUAAGUAGUUUAAAAUGAUUUGCCGAUCCCUGCUAAUUCUUCUUUUUAAGUGUGCUUCACAUUUGUCAUGUGUAAAAACUAAUGUGCUGUGAUAAGAAUCUCAUUUUCAAUUUAGGGAACAAUGGACUGGUUGGUAGAGAUCACACAUUUCAGUGAUUAGAAUAAAUCUCCAGUGUUCUAAAUUAUCAAAGAAAACCUAUUUUUAAACAAAAUAGAGAAUGGCUGUUAUGGAAAAUACGAUUAUUAUAAAGCAAAAUACUUUUAGGAACUUAAAAUAUAUGGUAAGGUAGAAAAUAUUUUUUAAAAACCUUUUAAAAACCUGCUUCAUUUCAUAAAAUUCUAAGCCGAUUUUGUUUUUAAAAUAAAUGCUAAUUUAUAUAACUACAGUUCACCAACUAUAUUUCAAAUACUUUGGAUUUGGAAAUCCAUUUAUAAGAAUGAUUUAAAAUUAUAAUUUAAAAAUAGAACUAGAUCUUUGUAAACAUCGUAGCACUCUUCAGAUAGCUACUAAAGAGAAUAACAUUUUGCAGUACCAAGGAGUGAAUGAUGGGAAGCAAAGUGUUUCAUUUGGCCACCCCCCUAGUGACAUGCAGUAAUCAGCCCUGAGGAAACUUAAAAAGGUACUGGUAAGGUCCGUAUGGAAUCUGAAAUCUGUCAGUUGUCAGUAAAUAGCUAUUUUUAAGGCCUCUAUCCGGGUGAACAUUAGAUGGCAGUGAGAAGUCUCCCCUCCCUGUGGGAGAAGCCAGCCCACCACAGCUGCACUGCCGCAUCUUGGAGGAGUCCUUGCCAUGCACCCUGCAGCCCUUGACCCAAGUUUAACCCAAGUUUAUCCCUCUGUGCCGUUGGUUCCCAGCCUGGGAAGAGUCCUGGCGUAAGGACUCUUACGCCAGAAUAUACUGCUAUCAAACCAAGGUCUUAGCAUUAAAGUUCACAGGAAUUGAAAAAUACUGAAUUUAUUUGCUCAAAUAUUUCACUUCAUUAAAAACACGAAGUUUUCAUUCAAAAAAGAAAAAUGCAAGCCACUUUUUUGUUUUAAAAAGAAUUAUCAGAAUCACCUUGCUUUUAUCAGCAUUCAAGUUGGCUCAUAUUCUGAAUGAUCUAAAGUUUUUGAAAUCUCCAAAUAGUAACUCUAUUAUGAGAUAUAGUUGCUGUUCCCCCAGUGGCUUAACAUGAUAACAUGAAACCACAUCCUUAAAAACCAAAAAUGUACUUUAACAUAGAUUUAUGCUUGAUAGGAUGGUCAAAAAAGUCCAGAUUUUUGGACUUUCUUUUUCAAACUUUGACACAAUUCAAAGGACAAGAAAAGUCUCAACACCUUGUGAUUACUAUUACUAGUUUUGUCCGUUGACCACAGUAUUCUAAAAACUACCGCUCACUCUGGAAGGCUGAGGCAGGAGGAUUACAAGUUCCAGCCUAACGUGGGCAACUUAGAGACUAUGAGACCUUGCCCCAAAAUAAAAAAUAGAAAAGGGCUGGGGAUGCAGCUCUGUGCAAAGGCCCCGGGUUCAAUUCCCAGGUCCACAAAACCAACCAACAACAGGAAGAAAAAAAACCCCAUACACAACCACUGUUCAUGGGGACAGUAUUUAUAAACAGAACCAUCUUCCUGGAGUUCCUCUACUUUUCAGUCUACCUCCUUGUAAAGAUCUAGUUUUUAUUAUUUACAAAACAGUGUUACAAAAGGUGUGCUUAAGCACUGAUGUUCAGCGUAGUGCGUGUUUUAUGUUUGUGGACAGACAUAGUUCAGCUAGAAUUCCUUGACCGAACACUGUGAGACUCAUCCCCAUGCGGCAAGAAGCUGACUUUUUUGAAAGUGGUUAAAUGGUGCCCUUGUGAUCCAGUGAAGGGAAACAAGGUGCUAUGUGGAGAGUUUCCAGGUAUCUCUGUUUUUCAGUUAAAAGCUCUUUCGUGCAUUUUGUCACUUACAAGUUGCAGGUCCAUUAUAGUUGUCUAAAAACAGCUUUUCCCUUGAAUUGCUCUGAAUUAAAAGUAGAACAACAGUUCAGGUAAACGUUUGUUUCACAAUUACAUAACUCGGCGAUGUUUGCAUAGACUCUCAGAAAGGUGCCAAUGUAUAUUUUAAUGCCUGAAGACAGGCUCUGAUGAAAUGAAAGAAUGGCCGCUGCCUACCGAGCUUGCCUCUGUACUGGACUCUGAGGAAAGGAAUCCCUAUAAAGUGCCGUCUCCUGACUAUAUUGCAAGUGGGUUUGUAAGCAUUCAGACUGAACAUGAACGAAGACUCAGAGCAACCAGUUGCCUGGUGUGGAGAAGACACAGAGCUCACCAUCACCCUAUAGAGUGAGUCUCGGUUGUCCAGAGCUCUGUACAAAUUCACUCGCAGCUGCUAGAGCCAGUCGAAUGGAAACAGCAGCUCCUCAUCUACAGACUCAGUCUGACAUGUGCUGCUAUCUACGAGGGAUGCUGGGUGUGGACGAUGCUGUGUGCCGUGCACUCUGACGCGCUUGCAGGCCGUCUCCUUGGCGCAUACGCCCUUCAGCUUUGCCCAGUCAGUUCAGAGAUUCCCAUCUGUAAUCAUCUCCACAGGCACUCCAUCUAAACUGGAAGUCUAAUCUCAUGGCUUUAAAUCGUUCUUUGCUUCUGAUUCCCCCAAACUGGAUAACUUCACUCGAUCACCCCUUGCUUUCUCUGUCCUUUUCUCCAGUUACUUUUGAGAAUUAAAAAAAAAUAUAAACUACCUUUUAAAAGAUCCCUUCCUCCCACUGAGAAUAUGUUUUUAAAAGGCCAUUUCAACAGAUUAGUGCUCUGAGUCUGGUAAGCUGUGUGGGGUGGCAGGGCAAGGCCUACCCUUCUGGGAUGCAUGGGGAGUGGCGUCACCUCUGGAACCUUUACUUUUCCUCUGUUGGGUUCCCAGUUUCCAUGGCGACAAUCUCUCUGUCCUCAAUGUCCAUCUCUAGGGUGAAGCUUGAGGCUUUCCUGUCCUUUGUCCUUGCCCCCCACCAGAUUCUGCCACUUUCUCAGGGUGUCACUUUGUCUGUCCCCAUUCCAAGCCCCACCUGUGUUAAGGGCAUUGGCCCAGGUGGCCCUGAUGACUCCUCCUGCAUCCACUUAGCUGGCUUCCUCCCUCCCUGAGAAUUCAGCACCUCUCCCUGACCUUCAGAGUGUCCCUGCCCCUUGUGUCCCUAUAUGCACUGCAGUCCUUAUCCCUGAUCGACUGCUCCAAAGUUAUUACAUGCAAAAGCCUAGCAAUAAACAAUUCACAAGUCUUCAGUUAUGCACUUGCCUGCUGCCCAACCUGCCCUGCCCUAGAUGGGAAUCAUGCCUGGACCCCCUGGCCAAGAUGUCUACAUGGCCUGCCUGGUUAGUCACUCUGAGCCAUCUCUGCUACCGGAUCAGCUGCUACAGAACCACAAGGCUUGUGUUCAAGUGACCUUUAUACUUAAUGACAGGCCCCAGUGCAUGAGAGCAGCAAUUCACGUAAAGCUUUUCUUUAUGACAUAAACACUCAGUCAUAAGAUCCAUAUUUUUGAAAAUGUUUAUGUACUUCACCUCUCAAUAAUUGAAAGAGAUGUUUUCAAAUCAUCUACUAUCAUGAUGAAUGUUUUGACUUCUUCCUGUAAUCUUAUCAGUUUUUGCUUUAUGUACUUUAGAGUUAUUUUAAGAGAUGGGGAAGGAGGAAUCAGAUGGGAAGGAGAAAUAAAAAGAAUUAAGAUGCAUUAUAUACAUGCACCAACUCCCCACAAUGAAUGUAAAUCAUGUACUGCAGACAUUGACUAAUGAAAAAAAAUUCAAGUUCAAGGGGCUGGGGAUUUAGCUCAGUGGCACCACACCUGCCUCACAAGCGCAAGGUCCUGAGUUCGAUCCCUGGUACCGCAAAAAAAAAAAAAAUUUUUUUUUAAGUUCAAACAAAACAAGAAAAGCCAAAGAAAAGCCACACAAUGCUUCCUUCAAGUGAAGAGGUGAGGGUGCUCAAUUAAGGAGAGGGAAAAUCAUAUGUUGAGGUAACGGAGAUCUACGGUGAGCACAAGACACAGC